GCCUCCUUAGCUCAGUUGGCUAGAGCGGCUGUCUUGUAAACAGCAGGUCGACGGUUCGAAUCCGCCAGGAGGCU
rnacentral:tRNA from 1 species